GAUGAACGCUGGCGGCGUGCCUAAUACAUGCAAGUCGAGCGAACAUACGAGGAGCUUGCUCCUCUGACUUUAGCCGCGGACGGGUGAGUAACACGUGGAUAACCUACCUAUAACACUGGGAUAACUUCGGGAAACCGGAUCUAAUACCGGAUAAUAUAUUAAAACGCAGGGUUCAAUAGUAAAAUGCCGUUUUGCUGUCACUUAUAGAUGGAUCCGCGCCGCAUUAGCUAGUUGGUAAGGUAACGGCUUACCAAGGCAACGAUGCGUAGCCGACCUGAGAGGGUGAUCGGCCAAACUGGAACGAGGCAACGGUCAAGACUCCUACGGGAGGCAGCAGUAGGGAAUCUUCCGCAUUGGGCGAAAGCUUGCCGGAGCAACGCGGCGUGAGUGAUGAAGGUCUCCGGAUCGUAAACCUCUGUUAUUAGGGAAGAACAAAUGUGUACGUAAAUAUGCACGUCUUGACGGUACCUAAUCAGAAAGCCACGGCUAACUACGUG
rnacentral:rRNA from 1 species